rnacentral:rRNA from 1 species
CCUACGGGAUGCAGCAGUGGGGAAUAUUGCACAAUGGGCGCAAGCCUGAUGCAGCCAUGCCGCGUGUAUGAAGAAGGCCUUCGGGUUGUAAAGUACUUUCAGCGGGGAGGAAGGCGGUGAGGUUAAUAACCUUGCCGAUUGACGUUACCCGCAGAAGAAGCACCGGCUAACUCCGUGCCAGCAGCCGCGGUAAUACGGAGGGUGCAAGCGUUAAUCGGAAUUACUGGGCGUAAGGCGCACGCAGGCGGUCUGUUAAGUCAGAUGUGAAAUCCCCGGGCUUAACCUGGGGACUGCAUUUGAAACUGGCAGGCUUGAGUCUCGUAGAGGGGGGGUAGAAUUCCAGGUGUAGCGGUGAAAUGCGUAGAGAUCUGGAGGAAUACCGGUGGCGAAGGCGGCCCCCUGGACGAAGACUGACGCUCAGGUGCGAAAGCGUGGGGAGCAAACAGGAUUAGAUACCCCUGUAGUC